rnacentral:lncRNA from 1 species
ACAAAAACCAAGCUUUUGUCUCUAUAGACAGGUGGUCCCAAACGGUGGUAACCAAACAGGUUUAACUUUAAUUGUCCAUAUAAGAAAUAUGGAAUAAAAGUAGAUAUAACAACAUUUCAACAAUUAAAGCUUCCAUCGUUAUAAAUGUUGUGACUUGUAUAACCAUCUUCAUGUAUAUCUAGUAAUUAUCAAUAUCAUUUCACAAUGGGGUAGUGACCCUAUUUUCACUAGCUACAAUAAAUUUUAUUUUAAAAAUACAUUUAUAAUACUUUCAAACUGAUAUUCACGCAUCAUUCAAUUAUGCUCCUCAUGACUAGGGCAAAUCUGGAAAGCACAAUAGAAUAAAUAAUUUCACAUGCAUAAUAAAUUCACAAAAUAAUAGGUGAUUUAGACUACUGGGUAUGUAUAAAUCUGAAUGUGUUGAUAGUCCUAAUGAAUAAUGAAAUUCCAUUUUUAAAAUUACCGUUUUUAUUCAUAACUCACCAUUGAUCACAUGAUUGAAAAAAUACCAUCUCUUUGAUCAAAUAUAAAAAGAUACUUUGGUAACAAACAUAAAUUAAUAAGUAGAAUUGCUGUAUGGGUAAUAAAGAAAUGCACAUACUAUUGUUCUUACUUGUCAAAACUAGCUGGAAGUAAAAUUUGGCGAAAACAUUUCUUUAGGUAAGAUUUUGGUUUCUAUUCAUCACAAUAUUUAAUUAGUUACCAUAAACUGGGGUGCAAUGAGUGAGAUGCUAUUAUGACAUGGAGCAAAGAUUAUUUUUGUUCAGCUAAAACUGAGAGACAUUAGUUGCACAACUGCAGAGUGAUUAUUCACAAAAUUUUGGUAGAAUGGUAAAUUUGAUCAAACAUGCGAUUUUGUAAUUAUUAUGCUAGGUCUAGGCAAUUUCUUCCACAAAAACAUGUGAUAAUAGCAAGAGAAAACACAAUGUGUUACAUCACUUGAGGCUCAAAAUGCUAAAUAAGUACAUCUAAUUACUUCAGAAUAUCCCAUACAUGCACAAAACAUUAACUUCUUGUGAGUUUAUUAGCAAAUAGUACCAGAAGCAAAACCUCAAACCAUUGAGAGAUGCAGUCAGGCUCUGCAAUCGCAUAUACAUUUUUUAUUGGUGUUAGGUCCCAUCUGCCGAACCCCUUAGAAACCAUCAGGAAUAUAUGACGCUUUGCAUCCUCCAUUCGUACAUUAAAGUUAUAUUUUCUAAAAAGGACAUCCUAGGCUACUAACCUUUCGUAAAUAAUGUCAGAUGUUGUCACAAAAGGUUGGGUUAUGCCACAUGAUGACUCAUUUACCUGAUCGGCCGAGUGAGCUAAAUAUUAAUCAUACUGAACUUUGAAAGACUAACUAUAAAGGCCACUGGAUAUUUUCGAGUUCUCGGGCAGGAUACUUUCUUAUUGUUCAACUCUCAUGACUAAACUUCAAGAACUGAAUAUUCAAAUUUCAGUAUUCAUAAAUUACAUAUAUAUUUUAAACACAUUUCAAUCAACACACAUUAAUAUUUCAAAUUGAAAUGAAUGAAACCAUACAAGAUAUGAAAUAAAUUAAAGAAUAUAUACAACCACAUCCAAAUUAUGAAAAAAAAAUGUAUCAAUGUCGCCUUGUACAUGUAAUAAGGAAGUACUUUGAGGUGGCUUGUACCGUACAGACUCAAAGCAAAGAACUAUCAAUAAAAUAAUUCUGCAAAAAAUUGAAGAUAUCAUAAAUGCAGACAGAAGAAAUGAACACAGAAUAAUCAACUUUCAAGAGUGAUACCCGAAUCUUGCAAUCAAUAGCAACUAGCAAAUCAAUUUUAGGUCCAUAAGGAAAACAAUACAACCAAUCAAUCCACAUUGAAUCAAGAUCACAAUGUAGGUUAUUGUUUUCAACAAUUUUCAUUACCCUUGACAGCUUAGAAGCUGCUCUUUCAAACUCUGUAUAGGUCAUUGUGGCAAACACAUGGGCCCAUAUUCUGAAGUCGGGUUUAACUUAGACCAUGGUCUACAAUACAUGUAACUGCUGAAAUUAUGGGAAAUGCUUCAAAAUUUUGUUUACAGUGAAUGCUUCUCAUGUUAACUGUGCUCUACUAUUUUUUCUUUAAUGGUGAAGACUAUCGCAUACUUAUCCUUCCCAGGCAGUUAAUAAUGUUUUGGGAGGCAAAUGAGCUGAUACAUAGUACCUCUACUGUUAGUGAUGUAUGUAACAACUGGCUUUUCAUAGUUAAACCACAACUUAAAGCCAGAGUUUAAAAUAAACACGACUUCAGAAUACGGGCCAUGGGAUCUGAGAUAGGCUAGUCUGCAGGCACAGACCCUCAUUGGAACUUUGAUCAACAAGUGUGCCUCCACGCAAAGACUAGCACACACAAAACUUGCCGUUCUCGGGCCUUCACAAGGCAUGAGUAGGCUGCACAUUCAGACCCUUAUUUCGAGUGAAGGGUUUGCCCAGCAGACUAGAGAUAGGCAGUCAUAUUCGGUCCAAGUUUGUUCCCAUGUCAGACAGAGGUUUAUGCACAGAUGGUGUCCACAAACUGCUUCAUAGAAUGAUAGAUAAUUCAUGAACACAGGAUUCUCGGCAAUUAAAAAGAAAAAAAACCUGACUGGUGUUUACUAAGAUCAAAUUUCCUUUAUUGAUAUUUUCCUAUUGCCUUGCAAUAUCUCUGUUAGACGACAACGACAAGGGAACCGAUGAGUUGCCAUGCUGUAUUGUCAUGCUUUAAUGUAAAGUGAAUUAUUUGACAACCCCAAAUUUUGUUAAAAGUAGUAAGCAAUACCAGUAUUAUACUUUCAACUUUAGGGCUUAGCCAAUAAUGUUGUUCCACCAAACAAUCCUUGGCCUGCUAUGGGCACUAUCAGGUUAAGGAAUGCAGAUAAUGAUUGUGCAAUACAAUGCCAAGCGACGAAUGUACACAGCAUUACAUAACCUCUAUUGGGGAUUCUACUCUCAGUGACACCUGCUACCUGAUUAACACUCCUAUUAAUGUCAAAUUCCACAUGAAAGAUGACAUUACACAGCAUCUACCUGUAAAAAUACUUUGGGAAUCACCUGGAAUGUAACAGGACUACAGAAGUAUACAUGUACAUUUUCAAUUAGAUUUGAACAAGGGUAUAUAUGAUCUUUAAUCCUAUCUAGGCCGGGGUAUUUUGGGAGUUCAUAUGGC